GUCAGCCCGAACUCAUCAGGAAGUGCACAGCCUUCUCCAGUCAGGGAGCAUCCCCACACUCCCAGAGACCCAGGCUUCUGCUGUGCUCAUAGCCCAGGCAGCAUCCCGCUGGCAGGUGGCUCCCACAAGACCCUGAGGCUGACCACUGCAGACCCAGCAGGGAACGGAAGGUGGGCACUUCCUCCGCUGCUCUUCCUCAGCCAUCAGCACUGCCCACAGAGGACAUGUCAGACUACGAGAACGACGACCAGUGCUGGAGUGCCCUGGAGAGCUUCCGGGUGAAGCUCAUCUCCGUAAUCGACCCCUCACGGAUCACACCCUACCUGCGCCAGUGCAAAGUCCUGAACCCUGAUGAUGAGGAGCAGGUGCUCAGUGACCCCAACCUGGUCAUCCGCAAGCGGAAAGUGGGCGUGCUCCUGGACAUCCUGCAGCGGACAGGCCACAAGGGCUAUGUAGCCUUCCUUGAGAGUCUGGAACUCUACUACCCGCAGUUAUACAGGAAAGUCACUGGCAAAGAGCCAGCACGUGUCUUCUCCAUGAUCAUUGAUGCAUCAGGGGAGUCGGGCCUGACGCAGCUGCUGAUGACAGAGGUCAUGAAGCUGCAGAAGAAGGUUCAGGACCUGACGGCACUUCUGAACUCCAAGGAUGACUUCAUCAAGGAGCUGCGGCUGAAGGACAGCCUUCUGCGGAAACACCAGGAGCGAGUCCAGCGGCUCAAGGAAGAGUGCGAGCUGAGUAGCCGAGAGCUGAAGCGGUGUAAGGACGAGAACUAUGACCUGGCCAAGCGCCUAGCGCAUCUGAGUGAAGAGAAGGGCUCCGCGCUCAUGCGCAACCGCGACCUGCAGCUUGAGGUGGACCAGCUCAGGCACAGCCUCAUGAAGGCGGAGGAUGACUGCAAGGUGGAACGGAAACACACGCUGAAGCUCAGGCAUGCCAUGGAGCAGCGGCCUAGCCAGGAGCUGAUGUGGGAGCUGCAGCAAGAAAAGGACCUGCUGCAGGCCCGGGUGCAAGAGUUGGAGGUCUCCGUACAGGAGGGGAAGCUGGACAGGAACAGCCCCUACAUACAGGUGCUGGAGGAGGACUGGCGCCAGGCCCUGAAGGAGCACCAGGAACAGGCCAACACCAUCUUCUCCCUACGCAAGGACCUCCGCCAGGCUGAGGCCCUCCGGAUCCGGUGCAUGGAGGAAAGGGAGCUGUUCGAGCUACAGUGCCAGGCCUUGCGCAAGGAUGCCAAGAUGUACAAGGACCGGAUCGAGGCCAUCCUGCAGCAGAUGGAGGAGGUCUCCAUUGAGCGGGACCAGGCUAUGACCUCGAGGGAAUUGCUGCACACACAGUGUGCCCAGAGCUUCCAGGAGAAGGACAAGCUGCGAAAGCAGGUUCGAGAGCUGGGCGAGAAGGCGGACGAGCUGCAGCUGCAGCUGUUCCAGAGCGAGGGCCGGUUACUGGCCGCCGAGGGCAGGCUCAAACAGCAACAGCUGGACAUGCUCAUCCUGAGCUCUGACUUGGAGGAUACUUCACCCAGGAACUCCCAGGAACUCUCACUGCCUCAGGACCUGGAGGAGGAAACCCAGCUCUCAGACAAAGAAGUCCUGAGCUCUCCACUGAGGCUGCUUCCACCCCACCCAUGGGAACCACUAAACACAUAACUGUUGCCAAGCCAACAGGGAUAUGGCCUAGGACAUGCAUGAACAAACUGUCCUGGGGACCAGGAGUCUUUCCUACCUAUCCAUCCUUGUAUGUUUGGUGACAGUCAGUUUGAACGGUUGGGUGGGUGAUGGUAGGAGCCCUGUUGAGAGUUCCUGGUAGCCUAGGGCUGGCUCAGCCUGUCCCUGUCUGGAAAAUGCAGUCUCCAUUGGCCUGGGCUAGUGCUAGCUGGAUUGUUAGCAGAGGGAGGUAGUGGCCAUGCCGGAUGGGCACCCCACAAGCACAGCUCUUCCUUUCAGGUGUCCUGGCAGACAGAGAGAGCCCAGAGCAGCCCUUUGUGGCUCAGAGCAAGGAGCCGCUUUCACAAACCCAUGGCACGGGGCCCAGCAGCAGCGAACCCCCGGAGAAGGAGCGGCGACGCCUCAAGGAGAGCUUCGAGAACU